UACGUAGGUGACUAGCGUUGUCCGGAUUUACUGGGCGUAAAGAGCGCGCAGGCGGUCGUUCAAGUCGAGUGUGAAAGCCCCCGGCUCAACUGGGGAGGGUCAUUCGAUACUGAUCGACUCGAAGGCAGGAGAGGGAAGCGGAAUUCCCGGUGUAGUGGUGAAAUGCGUAGAUAUCUGGAGGAACACCGGUGGCGAAGGCGGCAUCCUGGACCAAUAUUGACGCUGAGGAGCGAAAGCCAGGGGAGCAAACGGG
rnacentral:rRNA from 1 species